rnacentral:snRNA from 1 species
AGCUUUGCGCAGUGGCAGUAACAUAAGCUGAUGAGGUUCAUCCCGAGGCGUGUUUAUUGCUAGUUGAAAACUAUACCCAAUACCCCGCCCUGUGGACGUAUAAACCGUUCGCUGUGGCAAUUUCUGAUGGGUUCCCCGGAAC